GACGAACGCUGGCGGCGUGCUUAACACAUGCAAGUCGAACGGAAAGGCCCUGCUUGCAGGGUACUCGAGUGGCGAACGGGUGAGUAACACGUGGGUUAUCUGCCCUGCACUUCGGGAUAAGCCUGGGAAACUGGGUCUAAUACCGGAUAGGAGCCAUUUUUAGUGUGAUGGUUGGAAAGUUUUUUCGGUGUAGGAUGAGCUCGCGGCCUAUCAGCUUGUUGGUGGGGUAAUGGCCUACCAAGGCGGCGACGGGUAGCCGGCCUGAGAGGGUGGACAGCCACAUUGGGACUGAGAUACGGCCCAGACUCCUACGGGAGGCAGCAGUGGGGAAUAUUGCACAAUGGGCGCAAGCCUGAUGCAGCGACGCCGCGUGGGGGAUGGCGGCCUUCGGGUUGUAAACUCCUUUCGCUAGGGACGAAGCUUUUUGUGACGGUACCUAGAUAAGAAGCACCGGCUAACUACGUG
rnacentral:rRNA from 1 species